CUCCUGUGUUUUGGUUCUGUGAUCUGUGAUCCUGAAAGGUUCAGCUCAGUCUCCAUCCACAGCCACUAGAGGGCAGGAGAGUCACACACACGGAGCAUGGCCUGGCUGGUGCUGCCACAGUGAGGCUGGCUAAAAUGGGCUUUCCUUCCGACCAGAGUCUCUGAAACUACGUACUUCAGUGCAGCUACAGGAAGGACGGUUCUGGGAGCCUUCAACACGGAUACAGAGAUACAGAUGGGACCCAGAUGAGGCUUAUAAAAGCCUCAUGUCAGGAGCUGGAGAGAAGGCUUAGCACAAGAGCGCUUCCAGCUCUUAUAGAGGACCAAGCUGGGUUCUCAGCAUCCAUGUCAGGUGGCACACAACCAUCUGUAACUCCAGCUCCAGCGGAUCUACUCACCUCUUCAGGCACACAAGUAUCCAAGAAAGCAGGAAGCAUGGUGUGACCAAUGUCGGGCUCUGUCUGUAUGACCUUCACCAUUUUCCAGAGGGACGAAGUGUGAAAAUGGAAACCCUGGAAAGCAGUGUCCCCAUGUUCAUGAUAGGAAAACUCCUGUUCUUAAAGUUGAGUUGAAAGCACUCAGGAAAUGAAGCCUUUGAAUCAACAUCGGGGAAGAGUAGCACCUUUGGCAGUGCUCAGGGGACUCUGGGGAGACUCCACUUUGGCUUGUGUGGCUCCCGUUCACACUUGAGCUGCUGAUGAGCCUCGGGUAUCAAACCUUUGCCAUCGUGACAAGCUCACAGCUGCAAGGUUGAGUGAACCUGGAUCCAGUCCCUAGUCUAGAGGCUUAGGACUGCACUUGUUUUGCCAAUGUGAUAAGUAUCCAUGGAAGUCUAACUGUUUUAAAUGUUGUUUGCCAGAUUACGAGAGAAGUCAAGCAUCUAUAAAUGCAGAGACUCAUGGAAAUGUCUUAGAGGGAGAGGCAGUGAAAGUGUCUCUGUCUGUGUCCGUUCCCUCUGCCUCUGUCCUGGAGAAUAGCCUGAGCAGAACCCCCCUGGCAGCUGGUUGAGCAACAUUGUCCAGAAGAAAUGGCACACAUGAGGAGCAGACAUAGGGGCACCAGACUAGGAAAUUUCAGGAGAUAGAGAAGAGUGAGGUUCAGUGCCUACAAGUGCCACUAUUGGAAUGAGAAACUAGAACACCCGGGAAUUCUCUAAAAUCUUGUUUUACCUAAUAUACAUGAAUGGGGGAAGUACUUCUGUGUAUGUUUAUCUUAUU
rnacentral:lncRNA from 1 species